GCGAGCUUCGGUCCUGCCCACCCUGCGCAGGGAGCGCCUCGUACCCCGGCCAUACGCAGACUCGGCGCGCUGAAUUCCACCCCGCGGACCCGCGCCCCACAGACCUUUGUCCCACGGGUCCUGGUUCCGCAGACCCUAAUCCUGCAGACCCCUGAGCCCGCGGACCCUGGCCCAGCAGGUGGUGGUCGCGGUGGGUCCCAGCUCCGGGAGGGGACGCCCUGGGACGCGGAGGGGCGCGCGGGCGUGGGGGCCGUGGCUCAGCCCCCCUUCCUCUCGCUCCCUCCGCCUCCCUGGGCGCCCCCUCGCCCCCUUCCUCUCGCGUCCCCGGGUUCUCGCCCCUUCUUUCCUGAUGCCUGCCUGAUUUUCUGGAAAGACCGACACCCCCAGUCGCCCCCACCGCGGCUCCCGGUUCCUUCCCCUGCAGAGCAGACGGGGGCUGGAGUAGGGGCCAACAUGGGUGACAUGGGUGGACCGGCAGGGCGGUCCCUGGGGUGCCCUUUAACUCUUUCUGUGCCACAUCCCCGGUCUCUGGCCAGUCCUGUCGCGCUAAGGCCCCUCCAGCAGCGCUGACCCUGGUCCCCCACCUGCUGGUCCUGCGGCCGCGGGGCGCUCUCUCCUCCGUCCCACCCGCUCCUUCCACACCACCUCCUUUCCUGGGAGUGGAGAAGCCCCAGCCAGAACCCCUGCCUUCCCCAAGAGGCACGCUCAGAGGGACAUUCUCCCCUUCCUCACUCCCCCUAGAGCCACAUCACACCUGGCUUUGGGGCCCUAGAACCUCAGCCCGCGCCCCUCCCCUUCCACCCCCAGCCAUCCCUGCUCUGUGCCCAGUGAUCUUGGGGUCACCACAACCCCAUGGCGCCUUGAGGCCUCACCUUUCCUGGCCUCUCAGCAUCCUGGGACACUGAUGGUCAUGCCUUCCUUCUAGAAAGUUCUCUCCGAGGCUGUGGCUUCCAGGAUGAGCACUCUCCUCCUCCCACUUCCUCCCCUUCUCCUUCCCCCUCCUCCCUUCUCCCUGGAGAGGUCUUCCUCCAAGUCCCAGUCUUCUUCCCCACCCAGAGCCCCUCCCGCUGACACUUGUCUGCAGUGCCUGUCUCCGCUCCCGCUAGGAAGCCUCCCCUCCGGCAUCUCCAAUCCAUCUCUGGGUCCUGCUCCACCUGCAUUUCCCUAGACCUGUCCUGGCCACCCUCACCCUGGGACACCUCCUGCCCGUGGAGAGCUCCUCUGAUAGGUGCCGUCCUUGGUCUUGGGGGUCCUUUCUCCCUAAUUCUACUUCUGUUUUGGGGGCGUGGGAACCCAGGGUCUUAACCCCAGCCAUUCCCCCUCCCAGGGGCCACUUCCCUCUGAAGCUUAGCCCAGCUCUGUGACCCCCACAGGCCUGCCCCCACCUGGUCCUCACUCCCCUGCAUAGCCACACUGUGGGGGCUCCAUGCUUCCCAGCCCAUAGGAAGCCCUGUUCCCAGAGGGGGCCAUUCUGUUUUAGUUGGAGCAGUGGCCAGAGGCAAAGGUCAGAAGGCAAAGGUCAUAAAAGUUUGUCUCUACCUGCCAGCAUCUGCUCCUGCUACUGCAUCUUCUCCCCUCUCCACCCAAACCCUCCCUCAGCUCCUGCCCCCACCUCUCCAGAGGCACAGACAACAGGGUUCUGAUCUUGGGUCAUGGUGCUCCCCCUGCCAGCCUCAGUCCGAGACCUCUGUGAAUGGCGGUGAUGGCUAAUGGGAUGAGGGGGACCACCUCCUGGUGGCUGCAGGGACUGGGGUGAGGGUGCUGUAGGCUCUGCCUAAGUCAAGUGCCAUGGGGCUGAAGAGACGGCGCACCGGCCCUGGAGAAGAGUCCUCCCUGCCCUCCUGUGUCUGGCCUUGUUUCCUGGAGGACAGGUCCCCACGGGGCAGAGGCCCAGCAGUCCCAGGGUCCUCAGCUUCCACCACCCCCAGGCGACGUCUGCUCACCCUGGCUGCCCGCAGCAAGAUUCCUGUUAUCUGGGUAGAGUCCUCAGCCUCCGCCACCCCCAGGCGAUGUCUGCUCACCUUGCCUGCCUUAAGCAAGAUUCCUGUUACCUGGGUAGAGUCCUCAGCCUCUGCUACCCACAGGCAAUGUCUGCUCACCCUGCCUGCCUUCAGCAGGCUUCCUUUUACCUGGGUUCCUUAGCCUCUGCCACCUCCAGGCCGUGUCUGCUAACCCUGUCUGCCGUCAGCAAGCUUCGUUUUACCUGGGUAGGUUCCUUAGCCUCUGCCACCUCCAGGCCGUGUCUGCUAACCCUGUCUGCCGUCAGCAAGCUUCAUUUUACCUGGGUAGGGUUCUCAGCCUCCGCCACCCCCAGGCGAUGUCUGCUAACCCUGCCUGCCCUCAGCAAGCUUCCUGUUUCC
rnacentral:lncRNA from 10 species